GAUGAACGCUGGCGGCGUGCCUAAUACAUGCAAGUCGAGCGAACGGACGAGAAGCUUGCUUCUCUGAUGUUAGCGGCGGACGGGUGAGUAACACGUGGAUAACCUACCUAUAAGACUGGGAUAACUUCGGGAAACCGGAGCUAAUACCGGAUAAUAUUUUGAACCGCAUGGUUCAAUAGUGAAAGACGGUCUUGCUGUCACUUAUAGAUGGAUCCGCGCUGCAUUAGCUAGUUGGUAAGGUAACGGCUUACCAAGGCAACGAUGCAUAGCCGACCUGAGAGGGUGAUCGGCCACACUGGAACUGAGACACGGUCCAGACUCCUACGGGAGGCAGCAGUAGGGAAUCUUCCGCAAUGGGCGAAAGCCUGACGGAGCAACGCCGCGUGAGUGAUGAAGGUCUUCGGAUCGUAAACCUCUGUUAUUAGGGAAGAACAUAUGUGUAAGUAACUGUGCACAUCUUGACGGUACCUAAUCAGAAAGCCACGGCUAACUACGUG
rnacentral:rRNA from 1 species